CCAAACCCUAGCCGCCGCCUUCCGUCUCGCCUCCUCCCACUCGUCCCCAUCCUCUCGCUCUCCUGCCUCCGCCUCCGCCUCCCCCUCGCGCCGCCGCCUCCGUCCCGCGCGACCGCCUCCGCCUCCGCCUCCGCCUACGCCUCCGCCUACGCCUCUGCCUUCCCCUCGCGCCGCCGCGUCCACCUCAUCGCCGCCGCCGUCGCUUCGUCGUCUCCCAGCGCCUCAGCCUCCCCAUUGCGUCGUCGCCGCCGCUGUCGCCCCGUCGUCUCCCAGCGCCUCAGCCUCCCCAUCGCAUCGUCGCCGUCGGCGAGCGCACCCAUCUCCGCCUCCACUAGCGUCGUCGCCUCGCGCCGCCACUUCCACCUUCGCCUCCCUCCGUCCCUGCCGACCGCCGUCUCCGGCCACCAGCGUCCGGAUCUGGCCCCCAUGUGGUCGGGGGACGGGGAUCUGACAUCCCCCGUGCGCCGGGCAGCAUCUCCGCCUCCGUCACCACCGUCGUCGUCGCCGAGCGCCGCCACUUCCGCCACCGCCUCGCCCCGUUGCUGACGAGCCCGCCGCCCCUGCUGCGUGCUUCGCCGCCGUCGCCGACGGUCGGUGCUCCACCCUCCGUUGCGGCUGCCAUCGAAGAAACGGCGGUGGUGACGGAGCCGGCGCCAAGGAAGGCAGUGGUUGCGUCGAGAAGAGGAGGACCGUACGUCGCCAGGCGGCUCCGGCUUUCUCUAGAGGAGUGGAGUUGCAGAGUGACGUGGAAGCCGGUGGCACACAGGAGCUAGCCGACGAGCUUGACACCGAGCAGCUUGGGCUGGAGAGCAAGAUUAUGGCCAUCAGGAACUUCUUGGAAGGACCCCGACCAUGUCCUCCGUGAUCCCAUUUUUACUUUCUCGCAGAAUAUGCUCCAAAUAUGCAACUUUCUUGACAUGAACUGUGCAUGUUUUUUGUGUUUUGUCUCAGCCCAACCGCCCCAACGACGUGCUGGUGAAAUAGUGAGCUUACUGCAAAACCGGCUAAACAUGAACAUCACCUUCAAGGAGCUGCAGGACGGUCCUGCUGCGGCUCAACCUCCACUGGGGCCACAUGCUUUGACUGGCCAUCAUCAGCAGGGUCAUCCAGCCUCCUCCGCCGGCGAGGGCGACCAGCCUGUACUGCAGGCUUGGACCGCCGUAGGGGACUGCGGGCGCCAUGGAGGGGCCGUGCUGUCCCUGUGACCAAUGGACGAUGACAGUUGCGGCUGCCGCGAGUCCACGCCGACUGCGAGGCGGUUAAUGUCGAUGACAUGUUCAGCCUGCGUAGGGAUAGCCAGAUCGGCAAGGAUCAGUUUCAUGGCAGGGGUGCAUGGAUUCACAUGUUUGGAAUGAGAUCAUGAAAGGAUAGAUGGCAUCCCAAGGAACUGAAGAAAAACAAAAAACUGUAGGAUCAGCAAUAGCAGUUAGAGAGGCUUUCUGGUUUUUUGAAAGGGUAUUUUAGAAGUUUACUCAAGCUGAGGUUUUGGAUACAGUACUAAUGAAUACAUAAUGAAUUGAUCUACCCCUCCACUCAAAGCCUCAAAUCAUGUCGCUCCAUACAAGUCGAAUGGCCUUGACAAGGCAUCAGAGAUAUCGGUUUGUUCGGAUUCUGCUGAUCAAAGUUUUAGAGUCGAGGUCUAAUAUGGUUGAUCACAGGGCCAAUCUUGUGCAGCAGUUUCAUGGAUGCAGAGCUAUUGGAAUUUGCAAACUAAAACAUGGACCCCAAUGAACGUCACGACUUUAAAAGCUCCACGGUACCGACUGUGACAUAUUAUACCCACAGAUGACGAUGAAAUUUGGUGGAGCUUUUGGUGAAGAAAAAGCAAUUGGAGGACGAGAAGCAGGGAAUGAUUCCAUCGAAUGUUUGAAGCAUUUGUUUUGGUUUUCUGUUUUCAGAUUUCUUGCAAGCAAAUUUAACCAUAGCAUCACAAAUGCCUAGCCCUUCGAUGGAAAUUUAGAUGUUUUAGUAGUUUAAAGUGCAGCUAUACCUUUUCAUUGUAUUUGAUUUGCGCAAGUACCAGAACUACCUGAACAAGUGGAACUCUCAUUAUUAGGAGUUUUGUUGUAAUUAUGCCCAAAGACAAAUGAUUGUGCUAUAACUAUCACUACUAGCAAAUGUGGUAGUUUGUGUCUGAUGACUUUUGCUACAGAUAUUAAUGAACAUUGAUUUUCACUAAUCA